UGGGUGUUUAAACAAUGUCAAAAUGUCUGU
rnacentral:piRNA from 1 species